rnacentral:rRNA from 2 species
CCUACGGGUGGCUGCAGUGGGGAAUAUUGGGCAAUGGGCGCAAGCCUGACCCAGCAAUGCCGCGUGAACGAUGAAGGUCUUCGGAUUGUAAACUUCUUUUAGUGGGGACGAAGAAUGUGACGGUACCUACUGAAUAAGCCCCGGCUAAAUACGUGCCAGCAGCCGCGGUAAUACGUAUGGGGCAAGCGUUAUCCGGAUUUACUGGGUGUAAAGGGCGCGUAGGCGGGCUUGCAAGUCGGAUGUGAAAUACCAUGGCUUAACUUUGGUCUUGCAUCCGAAACUGUAGGUCUUGAGUGUCAGAGAGGAAAGUGGAAUUCCUAGUGGAGCGGUAAAAUGCGUAGAGAUUAGGAGGAACACCGGUGGCGAAGGCGACUUUCUGGCUGACAACUGACGCUGAGGCGCGAAAGCGUGGGGAGCAAACAGGAUUAGAUACCCCAGUAGUC